rnacentral:precursor_RNA from 15 species
UUUUUAGUUAUCUUCCUUUUCAUGUUUAUCAUCCCUAAUGAGAGCUAUUUUCAUUAAUUUUUCGAAAAUGAUAAUAUCUCUGUGUUAGGGUGACAAAUUUGAGAACAGUCUACAAAAUAAAGU